GAUGAACGCUGGCGGCGUGCCUAAUACAUGCAAGUCGAGCGAACAGACGAGGAGCUUGCUCCUCUGACGUUAGCGGCGGACGGGUGAGUAACACGUGGAUAACCUACCUAUAAGACUGGGAUAACUUCGGGAAACCGGAGCUAAUACCGGAUAAUAUAUUGAACCGCAUGGUUCAAUAGUGAAAGACGGUUUUGCUGUCACUUAUAGAUGGAUCCGCGCCGCAUUAGCUAGUUGGUAAGGUAACGGCUUACCAAGGCAACGAUGCAUAGCCGACCUGAGAGGGGUAACGGCCACACUGGAACUGAGACACGGUCCAGACUCCUACGGGAGGCAGCAGUAGGGAAUCCUCCGGAAUGGGCGAAAGCCUGACGGAGCAACGCCGCGUGAGGGAUGAAGGUCUUCGGAUCGUAAAACUCUGUUAUUAGGGAAGAAAAAAUGUGUAAGUAACUAUGCACGUCUUGACGGUACCUAAUCAGAAAGCCACGGCUAACUACGUG
rnacentral:rRNA from 1 species